AUCAUGCCCCUUAUGAUUUGGGCUACACACGUGCUACAAUGGACAAUACAAAGGGCAGCGAAACCGCGAGGUCAAGCAAAUCCCAUAAAGUUGUUCUCAGUUCGGAUUGUAGUCUGCAACUCGACUACAUGAAGCUGGAAUCGCUAGUAAUCGUAGAUCAGCAUGCUACGGUGAAUACGUUCCCGGGUCUUGUACACACCGCCCGUCACACCACGAGAGUUUGUAACACCCGAAGCCGGUGGAGUAACCUUUUAGGAGCUAGCCGUCGAAGGUGGGACAAAUGAUUGGGGUGAAGUCGUAACAAGGUAGCCGUAUCGGAAGGUGCGGCUGGAUCACCUCCUUUCUAAGGA
rnacentral:rRNA from 1 species